AAUAAAUGCAAAUUAAAUUUUUUAUUUAAAGUUAAAAUGCAAAUAUGAAUUUAUAAUUAAAUUUAUUAGGUUAAAUUUUAAAUUUAAAAAAUUAUUAAAAAAGUGAUUAUUUUAAGCUUAGAAAUUUUUUUAAAUAAACUAGGAUUAGAUACCCUAUUAUAUAAAAUGUAAAUAAAUAAAAAUAGAGUAGUAUUAGUUAUAUUCUUAAAACUUAAUAAAUUUGGCGGUAUUUUAAUCUAUUCAGAGGAACUUGUUUUAUAAUUGAUAAUCCUCGUUAAAUCUUACUUAAUUUAAUUAAUUUGUAUACCAUCGUCAUAAGAAUCUCUUAUAAAAGGAAUAAUUUUCUUAAUAAUUUAUUAAUUAAAAUGUCAGAUCAAGGUGCAGUUUAUGGUUAAGAAAAAAUGAGUUACAAUAAAUUUAUUUAUAUGGAUUUUAAAUUUAAAUAUUUAAAUAAAAGUGGAUUUGAUAGUAAAAUAAACUAGAAAAUUUAUUUGAUUAUAGUUCUAAAAUAUGCACAUAUCGCCCGUCACUCUCGUUUUUAGAAUGAG
rnacentral:rRNA from 1 species